rnacentral:misc_RNA from 1 species
GAUGAAGAACGUAGCGAAAUGCGAUACGUAAUGUGAAUUGCAGAAUUCAGUGAAUCAUCGAAUCUUUGAACGCAUAUUGCGCUCUUUGGUAUUCCGAAGAGCAUGCUUGUUUGAGUAUCAGUAAACACCUCAACCUCUUCUUGAUUUUUCAAAAGGAGGGUGGACUUGAGCUAUCCCAACAACCUUUACCGGUCGGCGGGCGGCUUGAAAUGCAGGUGCAGCUGGACUUUUAUCUGAGCUAAAAGCAUAUCUAUUUAGUCCUCGUCAAACAGGAUUAUUACUUUUGCUGCAGCUAACAUAAAGGAUAAUUGUCCUCUUUGCUGUCUGAUGCAGGAUUUUACGACACUUUAUGUGUUGUUCAACUCGAUCUCAAAUCAAGUAAGACUACCCGCUGAACUUAAGCAUAUCAAUAAGCGGAGGA